rnacentral:rRNA from 1 species
AUUGAACGCUGGCGGCAUGCUUUACACAUGCAAGUCGAACGGUAACAGGCCGCAAGGUGCUGACGAGUGGCGAACGGGUGAGUAAUGCAUCGGAACGUGCCCAGUCGUGGGGGAUAACUACUCGAAAGAGUAGCUAAUACCGCAUACGAUCUAUGGAUGAAAGCGGGGGACCGUAAGGCCUCGCGCGAUUGGAGAGGCCGAUGUCAGAUUAGGUAGUUGGUGGGGUAAAGGCUCACCAAGCCAACGAUCUGUAGCUGGUCUGAGAGGACGACCAGCCACACUGGGACUGAGACACGGCCCAGACUCCUACGGGAGGCAGCAGUGGGGAAUUUUGGACAAUGGGCGCAAGCCUGAUCCAGCAAUGCCGCGUGCAGGAAGAAGGCCUUCGGGUUGUAAACUGCUUUUGUACGGAACGAAACGGCUCUGGUUAAUACCCGGGGCUAAUGACGGUACCGUAAGAAUAAGCACCGGCUAACUACGUG